rnacentral:rRNA from 1 species
GACGAACGCUGGCGGCGUGCUUAACACAUGCAAGUCGAACGGAAAGGCCCUGCUUUUGUGGGGUGCUCGAGUGGCGAACGGGUGAGUAACACGUGAGUAACCUGCCCUUGACUUUGGGAUAACUUCAGGAAACUGGGGCUAAUACCGGAUAGGAGCUCCUGCUGCAUGGUGGGGGUUGGAAAGUUUCGGCGGUUGGGGAUGGACUCGCGGCUUAUCAGCUUGUUGGUGGGGUAGUGGCUUACCAAGGCUUUGACGGGUAGCCGGCCUGAGAGGGUGACCGGCCACAUUGGGACUGAGAUACGGCCCAGACUCCUACGGGAGGCAGCAGUGGAGAAUAUUGCACAAUGGGCGGAAGCCUGAUGCAGCAACGCCGCGUGCGGGAUGACGGCCUUCGGGUUGUAAACCGCUUUCGCCUGUGACGAAGCGAGAGUGACGGUAAUGGGUAAAGAAGCACCGGCUAACUACGUG